rnacentral:rRNA from 1 species
AACGACUCUCGGCAACGGAUAUCUCGGCUCUCGCAUCGAUGAAGAACGUAGCGAAAUGCGAUACUUGGUGUGAAUUGCAGAAUCCCGUGAACCAUCGAGUCUUUGAACGCAAGUUGCGCCCGAAGCCAUUAGGCCGAGGGCACGUCUGCCUGGGCGUCACAAUCCCGUGAACCAUCGAGUCUUUGAACGCAAGUUGCGCCCGAAGCCAUUAGGCCGAGGGCACGUCUGCCUGGGCGUCA